CCGCUCCGCAGUAUAGUCAGUGCAUUCUGAACCGGCGCGCGAGAUACACGCUGACGCACCUCGGUCUCCGCGAGCGCGCCUCCACCGCGCAUCGUCGCCGUUGUCGACGACCCCUUCGCGUCGUCGUCUCCCUCCAACGGAGUAUCUCUUGAACAGGAAACGUCGCGUGUUCCGCGACACGUGUGAAAUUGGUGCGAAAAUCCGCGAAAAGAAAAAAGAAAGAAAGAAGGGAGUGCGCGCUUUUACCUCUCCCUCGGUGUAUCUUGUUCGACUCGCUGGUUUUUGAAAAUCCCGCGUGUCCGAAAGCCGCGAAAAAGGUUACGUCGAGGAAGUGAACGCUGCGAAACAGAUCGAGGUAUUGUGAUUCGUCACUCCGACGUUUUCGUCUUUUUCUUCGUUUUAUUUAUCGUUAUAUCUCUCUCUGCUCUCCCGUUCUUCCUCUCUUUCCCUACAUCUUUUUCGCCCUUUCUUCCUCUCUCUCUCGUUCGCACCGACGUCGUCUCGUGGGGUCAGUGCCUGCUCGAUCGUAAUCCUGGGCAGGAACAUACCGGUGGAAGAGGAAGAAGGAACUCGAAAGCGAGAAAGAGCCUCGCAACAAAAAUCCCGCGCGCGUCCCACCAUUUUUCCGAAGGAUCCUUUUGAAGUUAGCCGUUUUCGCGCCACGCGAGAAUAAUCUCGACGAUGUGUGACGAUGGCGACGAUCAAGUGUCGGGAUCGUGGGAUCGAUAUAUCGACGAGUUAUUGAUUAUUACGCGAUUCCCUCUCGGAGGCCUGCUUCGGUGCAGGAAACUCGCGCGUUUCUUAUCGCGCCGUUCCUAGUAUCACUCGCUCUUUUUUUGCCCGUCUCGUCCAAUCCUUCUUUCUCGUCGCGUCAUUCUCCAUCUUCGUUCUUAUUCUCUCUCUCUCUCUUUCUCGCAUAUUCGAACGCGUGCACUUGGUGCGCGCGCGGUCUCUCUCUCUCUCUCCCUCUUCGGGUUCUCUUCUCUUCUCGCUGUCACUAUCUCUGUCUUCCUCGCGCCUGACUCCUUCGUGAUUGCAGCUCGCCGUCUCGCUCGCUCGCGUUGCGUGUUUUCUCGCGAACGAAUACGAAAAAAAGGAGAAUCUCGGCGCGCGAGUGAUACCGGGCCGCGCAAGAGAGAAAGACGCACGUCGCCUGUGAAAGAGCUCGAACUAGUCGCGAGUUUGUGUUUUUGUUUAUGCGGGACGGACUCUUGCAACCGAUAACUACGCACUGCACACCCUGCACUCUCCGCGCUGCAUCGCUGCAACGGAGAGGAAGUCGGCGAGAAGUGGACGCGCCUCCGAAGGACGAUUCGUCGCUGGAGGUGUUCGAGAAAAAAUGUAAAAUCUACCCAUAAGAGCGAACAGCAGUUAGUAGCAGUAACAACUGAGAAGAGAUAAUAACAGUGACAACAGUUAUUAAAUACGAAGGGGACUAAAAGCAAAAGGCGAGUUCUAGAAGAAAAAACUGCACAAAUAAAAGAUUGUAGCAAAUAAUCAACAAACCAAGUGAUUUAAAUUCAAACCGAAAAGACAAAAUAUACAAGCAGAGACUAUGAGUGAAGGAGAGAGUGGUCAGAAGAAAUCCCAGCCUCCAGUAAAAAUUAAUAAUUUUAAAUGCUCAAAUUGUGGUGAAACUUUUAGCACAUACAGUGAGCUCCUGAAACAUAUACGUAAAGUUCAUUUGACUUCUCAGUCAGCAACUAAUCCGAAAGGACAGAAAAUCAUACAGGGAGAGACCAUGAGUGAAGGAUCAGACUAUGAGGAGAGUGAUGAGAAGAGGAUCCUGUCAGAUAAAACCAUACUCGAUCUCAGCAAUCUCAGCAAAUAUGGAUGCAGAAAAUGUUCUGAAACGUUUCAAAAUCACUCUGAGCUCCUAGAACAUAUACGUUCUACUCAUAAUGAUGUUUAAUUCAUUAUUCAUUAAUUACAAGUCGAAUUAAAGAAGCAAUGAAUAUCUCGCAUCUACUAAAUCAAUCAUGAUGAUCGACAGCGACUUAUUUAAUUUUAUUCUCGCACUCUUUUCUUUCCUUUUUUGGUUUGUAAAAUCCGAUAUUAAUUUUUUAACAUAAUGACCACGCGUCCAAUUGUAUGAUAGCUUAUAACUUCGAUCUAUAAUGUAUACGCGACACAUUUAAUACGCAGAAAGAAUUUUGUUUUAAAAUUUAUCGUGAAAUUCAUGACAAUCAUGGGAUAAUAACAAACAGCAAUAAUUUUAU